GGGAGGAGAAACGCUCGUAUGGGCGGCUGCGGGUCAGUGGGAUGUUGACUGGCUUCUGCUUUUCUUUCCUGCGCUGUGGAGCCGGGGCAGAAUCCUCCACCGGGGUCGCUCCUCCGGCUGCCUCUCCGGAAUGAGGCCUCAGUUCCCGCGCAGGACGGCUCCCUUUUUCUUCCGAGAGAGCCCAAGGAGAGGCCGAAGCCGAGACGAUGCCUGGGAAGCUGAAGGUGAAAAUCGUGGCCGGGCGCCAUUUGCCGGUGAUGGACCGAGCUAGUGACCUGACUGAUGCCUUCGUGGAGGUAAAAUUUGGUAAUACCACCUUUAAAACAGAUGUGUAUCUCAAGUCCCUCAACCCUCAGUGGAACUCAGAAUGGUUUAAAUUUGAGGUGGAUGAUGAAGAUUUACAAGAUGAACCUCUCCAGAUCACAGUUCUUGACCAUGAUACAUAUAGUGCAAAUGAUGCCAUUGGUAAAGUGUACAUUGACAUUGAUCCUUUACUCUACAGUGAGGCUGCAACAGUCAUCUCAGGAUGGUUUCCAAUUUAUGAUACCAUUCAUGGUAUCCGUGGGGAAAUCAAUGUAGUUGUCAAAGUAGACCUCUUCAAUGAUUUAAAUCGAUUUAGGCAGUCGUCAUGUGGAGUCAAAUUCUUUUGCACGACAUCUAUUCCAAAGUGCUAUAGAGCUGUAAUAAUUCAUGGAUUUGUAGAAGAACUUGUGGUCAACGAAGACCCAGAAUAUCAAUGGAUUGAUCGAAUUCGCACACCAAGGGCAUCAAACGAGGCCAGACAGAGACUCAUUUCUUUAAUGUCAGGUGAACUGCAGAGGAAGAUUGGCUUGAAAGUACUUGAAAUGAGAGGAAAUGCAGUUGUCGGGUACUUACAGUGCUUUGAUCUGGAAGGCGAAUCUGGGUUAGUGGUACGAGCCAUAGGAACAGCGUGUACACUGGAUAAAUUAAGUAGCCCAGCAGCAUUCCUUCCUGCAUGUAAUUCCCCGUCCAAAGAAAUGAAGGAGAUUCCCUUCAAUGAAGAUCCCAAUCCCAAUACUCACUCAUCAGGACCCUCAACCCCUCUGAAAAACCAAACUUAUUCCUUUUCACCUUCCAAGUCCUACAGUCGACAGUCCUCUUCUUCUGAUACAGAUUUGAGUUUGACACCCAAAACUGGAAUGGGAAGUGGUAGUGCUGGAAAAGAAGGGGGGCCCUUUAAAGCUCUAUUAAGACAGCAGACUCAGUCAGCAUUGGAACAGAGGGAAUUUCCAUUUUUUACCUUGACGGCGUUUCCUCCUGGAUUCCUCGUGCAUGUCGGGGGAGUUGUUAGUGCACGCUCUGUGAAGCUUUUGGAUCGUAUCCACAAUCCUGAUGAACCAGAAACUCGAGAUGCGUGGUGGGCAGAAAUCAGACAAGAAAUAAAAUCACAUGCCAAAGCAUUAGGCUGUCAUGCUGUAGUGGGCUACAGUGAAUCAACUAGCAUCUGUGAAGAGGUCUGUAUUUUAUCUGCAUCCGGCACAGCAGCUGUACUGAACCCUAGAUUUCUGCAGGAUGGCACCGUGGAGGGCUGUUUGGAACAGAGGCUAGAAGAAAAUUUGCCUGCAGGCUGUGGAUUUUGCCAUAUACCGUAUGAUGAACUGAAUAUGCCAUUUCCAGCCCAUCUCACAUAUUGCUAUAACUGCAGGAAACAAAAAGUUCCCGAUGUUCUCUUUACAACUAUAGACCUCCCAAUGGAUGCAGCAGUUAUUGGAAAAGGUUGUCUCAUUCAAGCAAGGUUGUGUCGCUUAAAAAAGAAGGCACAAGCAGAAGCAAAUGCCACAGCUAUUAGUAAUCUGUUGCCAUUUAUGGAAUAUGAAGUGCAUACUCAGCUAAUGAAUAAACUAAAACUCAAAGGAAUGAACGCUUUAUUUGGACUGAGAAUUCAGAUCUCAGUCGGUGAAAAUAUGUUGAUGGGCUUAGCGUCAGCCACAGGUGUGUAUUUAGCAGCUUUACCAACGCCUGGUGGUAUUCAGAUUGCUGGGAAGACUCCUAAUGAUGGCUCAUACGAGCAGCAUAUAUCUCAUAUGCAGAAGAAGAUAAAUGACACGAUUGCUAAGAAUAAAGAAUUAUAUGAAAUCAAUCCUCCGGAGAUAUGUGAAGAGAUUAUAGGAUCACCUAUUCCAGAACCUAGACAACGCUCAAGACUUUUGAGAUCUCAAUCAGAAAGCUCUGAUGAAGUUACAGAAUUGGACCUUUCACAUGGGAAAAAAGAUGCAUUUGUUUUGGAGAUCGAUGACACAGAUGCUAUGGAAGACGUACAUUCUCUACUCACUGAUGUUCCGCCUCCUUCAGGCUUUUAUAGUUGUAAUACAGAAAUUAUGCCUGGUAUAAAUAAUUGGACAUCUGAAAUACAGAUGUUUACAUCAGUAAGAGUAAUCCGAUUAAGCAGCCUUAAUCUAACUAAUCAAGCCCUCAAUAAGAAUUUUAAUGAUCUCUGUGAAAACUUGCUCAAGAGCCUGUAUUUUAAACUACGGUCUAUGAUCCCCUGCUGCCUUUGCCAUGUAAAUUUUACAGUAUCUCUCCCUGAAGAUGAAUUAAUUCAGGUUACAGUCACAGCAGUUGCAAUAACUUUUGACAAAAAUCAGGCUUUACAGACCACAAAAACACAUGCUGAGAAGUCAUUGCAAAGAGCCUCUACAGAUAAUGAAGAACUUCUGCAGUUUCCCCUCGAACUCUGUUCAGAUUCACUUCCUUCUCAUCCUUUUCCACCGGCUAAAGAACACCUGGAGAGUGCAAGUUCUAACUCAGGUAUACCAGCUGCACAGAGAGCAACGUCAGUUGAUUACAGUUCCUUUGCAGACAGAUGCAGCAGCUGGAUAGAGCUCAUUAAACUGAAAGCUCAGACCAUAAGGCGUGGAUCAAUUAAGACAACUGUGACAGUCGAAAAAGCAAGUCCAGUGGGUGAAGGAAAUUUCCGGAAUCGUUCUUCUCCACCUUGUGCAAAUUCUACAGUUGGCGUGGUUAAGAUGACACCUCUUUCCUUCAUUCCUGGAGCAAAAAUAACAAAAUAUCUUGGGAUAAUUAACAUGUUUUUUAUUCGGGAAACCACUUCUCUUCGUGAGUUUACACAUGUAUCCAGUUUGGUUUUUUGCGCGUCAUCAUUUAGGAAGGAGGUGUCAGUGGUUUUCUCCAUGCUUUUAUUGCUGAAGUGUUUGCGAUGGUGAGAGCUCACGUGGCUGCACUGGGAGGGAACGCUGUUGUCUCCUACAUAAUGAAGCAGUGUGUCUUCAUGGAGAAUCCAAAUAAAAACCAGGCACAGUGUCUUAUAAACGUAAGUGGUGAUGCAGUGGUUUUUGUUCGUGAAUCUGAAUUAGAAGUGGUGUCAACUCAGCAACCUGCUGCCACCUGCCAGCCCUCAUGUACUGGUGGAGAAGUUACAACCUGAAGUCAGUUAGAAAGAAUGAGCUUCACUAAAUGACAUUCAUGGGUCUCCUUUGUUUUGUCAUUCAUUUAUCUUACUAGAUGUAAAAAAUGGACUUGAGAGAAUUGAGGAAGAAUUGAUACAUUAUGAGUAUAUUGGAUUUGUCUGGGAUCACUUGGAGGCCUGAGAAUGUUCAAAUCUUGACAUUUUAGUUUGGCCAGCCUAGAUGGACAGGCCCCAUGGAGCCUUGACCGCACCUCCCCCCCAGGAAGUUCGGAUAAACUUCUCUGAGAACUGUAGUAAAGAUGGAAGCUAUGUAUAAUUUAUGUUGAUUUUAAUAAAAUCAUAAUUUAGAAAAUUAAAUGGUAAGAUUAUCAGGAAAUUAGGAUAGCUCUCCUAGUGUAAUUUAGAGAAACUAUGCAAGAAAUGAACAAAUUGUUAAUGAGUAAGUCAUCUGAUUCGAGGAAUGUAUGGGGAAAAUGGAGAAAAGUUUUCAGAAAACUAUGUGGGCUUCUUAGUAUGUUAUUUUGAUGAGGAAUUUGGUAACAACUGAAAGGGAAAAUUGCUUCAGCCAUCUUUGAAAAAGAAGUUAAAAUUCUGCAACUUGUAUCCAUAAUAUGUCCUAACUACUGGAAAAGAAAAGUAAUUUAUCAGAGCCAGUGUCCUUCCAUUGGAAGUUUAAAUAAGGAAGGAGGAAAAACAUUACUAUAUAACUUCGUUUCUAGCCAAGUUUCAAUUUGUGUUUAAUUUGUCUGGAAGAGGCUUGGCUUCAACUGGGAAGAAAAGGCCAGUGAAUUUUGUUGAAGUAGUUAAAAUAUAAUUGAUCUAGAAGGAACACAAAAUUAUUUUCUAAUAAAGUCAUACUGCACUCCCACCAAAUAAACAGAAUUUUAGUAAUAUCUUAGGGAUUUUUGAUGGUGAGUUAGACUGUAUUUGGCAUAGAGUUUGGAAAUGUAACUUGAAUGUAAAUAUGCUGCAGAAUGUUGAAUAUAUGGAUAGAAGUACUUUUUUUGUCAAUGCCAAAUACCUAUUACAAGUGAACCUUUAAAAGUACAUUCCUCCUUUGCACAACAAAAUUUCUUUAUAAAACUCAUGAUUUUGCUCUUCCAGGAUAACAACUGCCCUAAAGAUUAGGAGUCAUUUCCUUGUUAUCACAGGUGUCAAUAUUUUUCUGUACCUUGUUUAUAAUUUUAUUUUUUAAAUAAAAAGUUUAUAAACUGGAA